UAAGAUAAAAUAAUAAAGACUAAAAUAGUAACUGAAUUUAUAUAUUCUGUUGGAUUGUAUUUGUGGGUCACGAGACUUCUUUAUUGUUGUCAUGGACUAAGGUGAAAGAGUAGUUUAAUAAAAAAAAAGAAUAAAACAUGGA